rnacentral:lncRNA from 1 species
UCCAAUCCAACAUUUUAUUAAAAAAAACAGAGCAACAACAAUUAUGUUACCACAAUUCAUUCACUUACAAACAUUUAACCUUGAGAGAUCAUGCCCACCAGGGUGGUCAGACACAGAUACACUACUGAAGACUUCGCUCACAGACCUAGGGAGUGUUCAGUAAUGUCCAAAACAGAGAAAAUGUUGGCAAACUGAAAAGGUACCACUUGAGCUUUUCCAAAAGGGAAGCUCAAUUCAGUUAUUUUUCAAAACCUUGGCUCCCACUGACAUAAUGAACAGGACACAGAUCUCAUUCUGCUUGGUAAAUGAGAGUUCAACUCCACCCUAUCACAGCUGCCCCUUUGUAGUGUGCUCCUAGUACGAGCUAAUCAACUUCCAUAACAUCCAACAAUAUGAAAAAAUAAUCACGAUACAGAGAUCAUAUGAAGGCACAGCCAAAGCAGUGUAGUUGACCAAACGCCACUGCUUAUGGUUUUUUGGAAUGCAUACUAGGAAGAAUUCAUACAAAAUGGGAGAACAAAUAUUGAUAAUAAAUAUUGAGUCAGAAUAUUUAUUAUCUUUUGAAAUUACCAAGUGCCACGCUUCUCUCUCACGGCCAAGUGCAUUUUAAAUGUACUCUAAACUAAAACACAUCUCAUAGUAAAUUGGUAUUUAAUGGUAUGGAUAGAAGCUAUUCAGGAUUGAUCAUUUUUAGGAGGCAAUGGUUUACAGAUCUUCUACUUUACGGUUCAGGCUGUAAAUUGGACUAAGACAAUCUAUGAUUCAGCUGGUGCAAGCAAACUCAAUAGAACCAUUUUGCCCUUCAUAUUCACGUGUCACUCUACAACUCAUCUUUCCUAGAUAGUUGGCCCUGCCAACUUCAGAAUAAGAUUACAGAAUAGGUCUCGAUUGUGCUCUGAGUAGAUGUCAGCAUUACUAAAACACAGUCCUAAACUCACAUUGGGUAAAUUGACAUCUAGAAUAACAAUAACUCAGCACUGCGGACUGUAAAUUCAUCCAAAACAUGUCCUGGAAAGGGGUGGUCUUCACUUAAAGUUUAGCGUUACAGAUAAACAAUUCAAGUAAUUUCAGGUAUGACGAAAAAGGAAUCAAUUCAGUUAUAUCUUAUCACAUAGACUAUCAAAUCAACUUUAUCAGUCACAGGAUGUCAAUUAAAAAAAGGACUAAAAAACCUCUAAGAACGAUAGAAAUGUUUGUGAAUGUUACAACAAGAAGGGAUAGCCCUAACAACUUCAUAACGUACUAACAUACAGAAAACGCUAGUUUGAAGUUGCUUUGUUGUGCAAACACAGAAAUAGUAUAACAAUAACUACUUGACCACUUCUGCCCUCCAUUCACAAAACAUUUUAAAUGGUACUUGCACAUAGAAAGGGGGAUACCUCGUCAGUUGUACAAACUGAAUGUAUUCAACUGAAAUGUGUCUUCCGCAUUUAACCCAACCCCUCUAAGUCAGAGGUGCGGGCGGCUGCCUUAAAUCGACACCCACGUCAUCGACGCCCGGGGAACAGUGGGUUAACUGCCUUACUCAGGGGCAGAGCGACAGAUUUUUACCUUGUCAGCUCGGAGAUUCGAUCCAGCAACCUUUCGGGUUACUGGCCCAACACUCCAACCUGCCAGGCUACCUGCCGCCACUCAAAAGUUCCACAACAUAGUUCCAUUUGCUACAAAUGGUAAUGAAGUCAAUGGAAAUAUAGAUAUAUUCUCUCUUUUUGGUAAUAAAACUAUCAAAACAAAGCGAUGACAUCAUUUUCUAUAUGCUUUGAAUGAGAAGAGGUAUUUUUCAGUGGGGAUGAAUGAACAACAUUCCUUGCUCGUAUCGGACUGUAGCCAUAGGAUCCAAUGCAACAUUUGCCUGUAUGUCAUUGAUAACAAUGGUGUCAGAAUCCUAAUAGCGUGGCAUUCAGUCAGUAGUGUCACAACAUUGGCCCCACAAUAAAUAAAUACAAAUAUAUCUAUCUAUCUAUCUAUCUAUCU